GAUGAACGCUGGCGGCGUGCCUAAUACAUGCAAGUCGAGCGAACGGACGAGAAGCUUGCUUCUCUGAUGUUAGCGGCGGACGGGUGAGUAACACGUGGAUAACCUACCUAUAAGACUGGGAUAACUUCGGGAAACCGGAGCUAAUACCGGAUAAUAUUUUGAACCGCAUGGUUCAAAAGUGAAAGACGGUCUUGCUGUCACUUAUAGAUGGAUCCGCGCUGCAUUAGCUAGUUGGUAAGGUAACGGCUUACCAAGGCAACGAUGCAUAGCCGACCUGAGAGGGUGAUCGGCCACACUGGAACUGAGACACGGUCCAGAAUCCUACGGGAGGCAGCAGUAGGGAAUCUUCCGCAAUGGGCGAAAGCCUGACGGAGCAACGCCGCGUGAGUGAUGAAGGUCUUCGGAUCGUAAAACUCUGUUAUUAGGGAAGAACAUAUGUGUAAGUAACUGUGCACAUCUUGACGGUACCUAAUCAGAAAGCCACGGCUAACUACGU
rnacentral:rRNA from 1 species